rnacentral:lncRNA from 1 species
GCUCUUUUAAAACUUUGAGACAGGGUCCUGCUAAAUUGCCCAAGCUGCCCUUGAACUUGCAGUCUGGCUGCCUCAGCCUCCUGAGUAGCUGGGAUUACAGGCAUGGGCCACGAGCCCUGCCUUGAGUGCAGGUGGAGGGCGAACUUGAUCCUGUGAAGGCAGCAUUUGAUCCAACAAAAUGGGAGGGCAGGUCAGUGUGUGUGAAAAAGGUGUUUUUAAGGACAACUAGUCUGGGAGCAACGUGCAUCGAGGGAGACCACUUGGAGGCAUUCACAAGAAACCAGGCAGACAUCAGGUCGCAGUGCUGGAGUGUUAAGAGGAAAACUAGAAACCAACAGCAAGAGGAAGAUAUCAAGAAGAGGUAUACCUGAUUCAAAAGGAACCUCUGGUUUUAGUUCUUUGUGAAAACUCCACACUGAUUUCCAGUGGUUGCACCAGC